rnacentral:misc_RNA from 1 species
GCCAAUGCAAAAGGAAACACCUGCUCUUUGACAUCUCUUUUACUUUAUUACAAAAUAUACAACAAAAUUGGCCAACUUUUUGUUAUUGAUUCAACUCUAAUUAGGAUUCACGCUUAGAAACCUCGCAAGUCUAUUAAAAAGUACCAAUUAUAUUUAGCAGGUGCAAAGCUUCCUUGCGUCACUGCCAAAAUCGUAUCCAUUACUCACAUUCAUGCACUGAAAUACAUUAAAACUUCAAGGGGAUGACAAAAACAGCACUAGAACAUUAGCACUUAGCAUUUAGCAGAUGCCUUGUAUACUUAACCUGCAGCUACAGUUACACACAGACUGAUAUGUGUAUGGGGU